AUCGGCACCACCGACACGACACGUUGGUAAUCGCAUCAUCUUCAUCGACGUGGCGCAUCCCCUAUCGCGUCACUGGACAUUUUUCAUCUCAUUUAAUCUUGAGUCCAGAGAGCUAUUUCAGUCUUUUCCCCUCACUUUAACACGGGAUUUAGGUCCCAAAACAGCAUUAUUGCCUCAUCUAUCAUAAUUCUCUCAAAAUCUAAAGCAUUCCCUUUC
rnacentral:lncRNA from 1 species